AGAGGAUGGGAGAUAGCACAAAGUGCAGCCGGGCUGGAGAUCAGAAAUUUGUACUGAUAUCAGCACACAUAGACCUUCAGGGGCUUUCCUCCAGCAGCACGAAGGACAGGUGGAGGAGGGGGCAAGACAGUGAUCUAGGACUGGGCUCUGCAGGACAGGUGUGGAGGGCUGGGAAGAAAGUGGCCAAAGGAAUCCAUCAUGGACUCCAGGCUAGAAAGGGAGGAGUAAGGCCUAAGGAAAGGAAGGUCAAAGGGCACGGAAUGGCUCAGACUAUGAAUGAACAAUGCGGAGAGUGAAGUCAGAAGUAAUAAUAGAAGUCAUGGGGAAAAAUGGAUUUCUGAUGAUGUACAGGUGAACUAAGACCUUCAUAGCAGUUAAAUAAGGAGCCAGUUCAAGGUUCCAAAUGGUAUGCUCGAAGAUGAUGGGCAAUCACUGCAUUUCAAAGCAUGUCAUGAUUGACUAUCAAGGACAGAAAAACACCAAUAAAGAUCACAUCAGAAAGCUAAUCAACUUUCCAAAGUAUAUCAGGAAAGUCAGUCUUAAAAUUCACCUUUGAAGAUUAGUGUAUUAUUGAUUCAUUCAUGGACAGCAAUUUCCUCAUCUUUAAGAAAUGGGAUUAAUACCUAUUUCUUCAUAGAGCUGUUGUAGAGAUUAAAUAAAUUAAUA